UUAGAAAUGCAAAUUCUCAGGCUCUCCUCCCCUGCUCCAGAACUAUUGAUUUAAAGACUCCAGAGGUGAGGUCCAGGAAUCUGCAUUUU
rnacentral:miRNA from 1 species